rnacentral:rRNA from 1 species
AUGAUGCGCGCCAAGGGCAAAGCUACAUUCUUGGACGCCAUGAAGGAGACCACCUCCCCCGUCUCCCCCGCCGCCGCGGCCAAGGAGGCGCUCAAGGAGGACGAGUGGGAGGUGCGGCCCGGCGGGAUGCUGGUGCAGAAGCGCGACCCGGGCUCCGACGCGCCCGCGGGCGCCCCCGUGCCCACCAUCCGCCUCAAGGUCAAGUUCAACGCCGUCUCCCACGAGAUCUACAUCAGCUCCCAGGCCUCCUUCGGCGACGUGAAGAAGAUGAUGUCGGAGAAGACCGGCCUGCACCACGAGGACCAGAAGGUGCUCUACAAGGGCAAGGAGAUGGACUCCAAGGCCUUCCUCGACAUGUCCGGCGUCAAGGACCGCUCCAAGCUGGCGCUCCUCGAGGACCCCGACGCGCAGGCCAAGCGCCUCAUCGAGCAGCGCCGCGCCGACAAGGCGCACCGCGCCUCCAAGUCCGUCUCCCGCAUCAGCCUCGACGUCGACAAGCUCGCCACCAAGGUGUCGGCGCUGGAGGCCAUCGUGCGCAAGGGCGGGAAGGUGGUGGAGGCCGACGUGGUCGCCCUCACCGAGGCGCUCAUGACGGAGCUGGUCAAGCUGGACGCCAUCGCCGCCGACGGCGAGGUCAAGGCGCAGCGGCGAUUGCAGGAGAAGCGGGUGCAGAAGUACGUGGAGACGCUGGACGUCAUCCGCGCCAAGAACGCGGCGGCGCCCAAGGCCAACGGCACCGGCAAUGGCCAAGCCAAGGGCGACCGGUCGCUGCACCUGCCGCCGCGGCCGCCGCCCGUGUCGCAGCGGCGGCAGUUCAAGCAGCAGCCCGCGCCGGCGACCGGCAAGGCGGCGGCGGCGCCGCCCACGGCGAGCUGGGAGACGUUCGACCUGCUGUCGUCAAUGCCGUCGACGUCCUCGGCCACGGCGACCACCACCAUGGCGGCCGCGACGACCACGACGAAGCCGGCCAGCAACAACAACAGCACCUCGCCGAUCCCGCGGUUCGACUGGGAGCUCUUCUAG